UGUUCUUGCAUGGGCCUUUUGGCGUUGGA
rnacentral:piRNA from 1 species